rnacentral:rRNA from 1 species
AGAGUUUGAUCCUGGCUCAGGAUGAACGCUGGCGGCGUGCCUAAUACAUGCAAGUCGAGCGGAAAGGCCCCUUCGGGGGUACUCGAGCGGCGGACGGCUGAGUAACGCGUAGGAACGUACCCCGAAGUGAGGAAUAACUGCCCGAAAGGGUGGCUAAUGCCGCAUGUGAUCUACGGAUUAAAGCUUUUAGCGCUUUGGGAACGGCCUGCGUAUGAUUAGCUAGUUGGUAAGGUAAUGGCUUACCAAGGCGAUGAUCAUUAGCUGGUCUGAGAGGAUGAUCAGCCAGACUGGGACUGAGAACGGCCCAGACUCCUACGGGAGGCAGCAGUAGGGAAUUUUCCACAAUGGGGGCAACCCUGAUGGAGCAACGCCGCGUGCAGGAUGAAUGCCUUCGGGUUGUAAACUGCUUUUAUUAGUGACGAUUAUGACGGUAACUAAUGAAUAAGGACCUGCUAACUACGUGCCAGCAGCCGCGGUCAUACGUAGGGUCCAAGCGUUAUCCGGAAUUACUGGGCGUAAAGAGUUGCGUAGGUGGCUAGGUAAGUAGAUAGUGAAAGCGUGUGGCUCAACCAUACAUCCAUUAUCUAAACUGUUUAGCUAGAGGACGAGAGAGGUAGAUGGAAUUCCUAAUGUAGGGGUAAUAUCCGUAGAUAUUAGGAGGAACACCGAUGGCGUAAGCAGUCUACUGGCUCGUUCCUGACACUAAGGCACGAAAGCAUGGGGAGCAAACAGGAUUAGAUACCCCCGUAGUCC